GAUGAACGCUGGCGGCGUGCCUAAUACAUGCAAGUCGAGCGAACGGACGAGAAGCUUGCUUCUCUGAUGUUAGCGGCGGACGGGUGAGUAACACGUGGAUAACCUACCUAUAAGACUGGGAUAACUUCGGGAAACCGGAGCUAAUACCGGAUGAUAUUUUGAACCGCAUGGUUCAAAAGUGAAAGACGGUCUUGCUGUCACUUAUAGAUGGAUCCGCGCUGCAUUAGCUAGUUGGUAAGGUAACGGCUUACCAAGGCAACGAUGCAUAGCCGACCUGAGAGGGUGAUCGGCCACACUGGAACGGAGACACGGCCCAGACUCCUACGGGAGGCAGCAGUAGGGAAUCUUCCGCAAUGGGCGAAAGCCUGACGGAGCAACGCCGCGUGAGUGAUGAAGGUCUUCGGAUCGUAAAACUCUGUUAUUAGGGAAGAACAUAUGUGUAAGUAACUGUGCACAUCUUGACGGUACCUAAUCAGAAAGCCACGGCUAACUACGUG
rnacentral:rRNA from 1 species